UGGGGAAUAUUGCACAAUGGGCGCAAGCCUGAUGCAGCCAUGCCGCGUGUAUGAAGAAGGCCUUCGGGUUGUAAAGUACUUUCAGUCGGGAGGAAGGUGUCAAGGUUAAUAACCUUGGCAAUUGACGUUACCGACAGAAGAAGCACCGGCUAACUCCGUGCCAGCAGCCGCGGUAAUACGGAGGGUGCAAGCGUUAAUCGGAAUUACUGGGCGUAAAGCGCACGCAGGCGGUUGAUUGAGUCAGAUGUGAAAUCCCCGGGCUUAACCCGGGAAUUGCAUCUGAUACUGGUCAGCUAGAGUCUUGUAGAGGGGGGUAGAAUUCCAUGUGUAGCGGUGAAAUGCGUAGAGAUGUGGAGGAAUACCGGUGGCGAAGGCGGCUCUCUGGUCUGUAACUGACGCUGAGGCUCGAAAGCGUGGGGAGCAAACAGG
rnacentral:rRNA from 1 species